GGAUUUAAUGAAAUAAGCCGAC
rnacentral:snRNA from 1 species